rnacentral:snoRNA from 1 species
UAGCUAUGACGAACUUGUGUCCACUGUGGUAGUUGGGUCUAUCACACUCCUCUGAUCUUCAGAAGAUUCGUGACACAUCUGAGCUA